rnacentral:rRNA from 1 species
UACGAAGGGGGCUAGCGUUGCUCGGAAUCACUGGGCGUAAAGCGCACGUAGGCGGCUUCUUAAGUCAGGGGUGAAAUCCUGGAGCUCAACUCCAGAACUGCCUUUGAUACUGGGAGGCUUCGAGUCCGGGAGAGGUGAGUGGAACUGCGAGUGUAGAGGUGAAAUUCGUAGAUAUUCGCAAGAACACCAGUGGCGAAGGCGGCUCACUGGCCCGGUACUGACGCUGAGGUGCGAAAGCGUGGGGAGCCAAACAGGG